rfam:Enterococcus haemoperoxidus ATCC BAA-382 genomic scaffold acvJN-supercont1.3, whole genome shotgun sequence.
GUAAAAGCUUUGAAAAGAAGAGUACAUGCCAAAAGUGUUUGAAGAGAGCUCUGUUUGCUGGAAAUGGGUAACACGAUUGAGAUGGAAGAUGGCCUUUGAGCGGAAUAAGUGAGCAAAGGUGAACUUAUUACGGGAGUGCCCGUUACAGCACGGCAGUAUGCGAAUUCAAGUACUGUAUAAGGCUAUUAUUGUGAAAUAAUGGUAAAUCAAGGUGGUAACACGAAAGACAAGCUUUCGUCCUUUUG